CAGUCGCCGCGGGAAUACAGAGGGUGCGAGCGUUAAUCGGAUUUACUGGGCGUAAAGCGUGCGUAGGCGGCUUCUUAAGUCGGAUGUGAAAUCCCUGAGCUUAACUUAGGAAUUGCAUUCGAUACUGGUAAGCUAGAGUAUGGGAGAGGAUGGUAGAAUUCCAGGUGUAGCGGUGAAAUGCGUAGAGAUCUGGAGGAAUACCGAUGGCGAAGGCAGCCAUCUGGCCUAAUACUGACGCUGAGGUACGAAAGCAUGGGGAGCAAACAGGAUUAGAUACCCCUGUAGUCCCUGUCUCUUAUAC
rnacentral:rRNA from 1 species